GACGAACGCUGGCGGCGUGCCUAAUACAUGCAAGUAGGACGCAGUUGCGAACGGGUGAGUAACGCGUAGGUAACUACCUAUUAGAGGGGGAUAACUAUUGGAAACGAUAGCUAAUACCGCAUACUAGUAGAUGGACCUGCGUUGUAUUAGCUAGUAGGUAGGGUAAUGGCCUACCUAGGCAACGAUACAUAGCCGAGCUGAAGGGGUUGGCGACACAAAUGGGACUGGAACACGGGCCAGGAUCCUACGGGGGGCAGCAGGAGGGAAUGUUCGGAAAUGGGGGGAACCCUGAACGAGCAACUGCGCGUGAUAGUAGAAGGUUUUCGGAUCGUAAAGCUCUGUUGUGAAGGAAGCGGUACUUAACCAGAAAGGGACGGCUAACUACGUGCCAGCAGCCGCGGUAAUAC
rnacentral:rRNA from 1 species